AUGAUGUUGAAAUGGAUACAGGUGCUUAUGGUGAUACUGAUGGUUGGUGGACUGAUCUCUGCUCUUCCUCUGCAGGAAGCUGAAGGGAGAAGCAGCAGAAUGCGUAGAAACACAAACUGCAUAAAGUGUCCAGCAGGCAAAUACUCUUCGUCUUGUAAUGAGUGUGCUGAUUGUCCUCGUUGGACCUACAACAGUAAGGAAAACACAGAGAGGAGAUGUCAUUCCUGCUACAAGAACUGCAGACCAGAGUUCCACAUGCAGGUGGUGAAGAAAUGCAGCAGUGUGUCUGAUGUGGUGUGUCGCUGCAUGGACGGCUAUUUCUGCAAUAAAAUGGAUAUUUAUACAAAACAAUGCACAUUGUGUUCACCAAUCCCAACCUCCCAGCCCACUACAACUUCUACUACUCAGCAUGAUCCUGAACCUGAAACUACUCCAGAUGUCAAGGUUCAUGCAGGUAUAGAGGUCUGGAUUGUGGUUGUAGUGCUGUUGAGUCUUACUCUGAGCGUUUUCAUCACGAUGCAUCUCUGCAGACGAAGAAAAAAGUGCCUCAAGGACCUGGUGAAGCGAUGCUCUCAUGCUAAUCAAAAGACCAAUGCUGCUACUACAGCCUCUCCAAUAGCUGAGCUGAUCAGUCAGGCCCAGGCAGAGAAGGCGGAUUCACCUACACCCACCAGCGACAUCCCUGACAUCCCCAGUCCUCAGCCUGCCAGCACAGAGCAGCUUGUUCCUCCUCAUGGAAACCUAGGUCCUCUCCACAUUUAUGGUGCAGGCACAGUGUUUGUUAGUUUGCUGAACCAGUUUGGGCAGAACGGAAGAGAGAAGGAAGAAGAGCAUCUCCAGCAGGGAGGCUUAAACGAGAGCGAGCUGCGCUGUCCCAGCUCUCCCAGCACUCCCAGCUCCCCUCCACUCCCUCUAUCUACUGAAGAAAACAGUAAAGACAGCGGUUUUGUCUUUUUCCCUUCCCAGGAGCAAGGGAAGGAGUGUCACAUGUCCAAAGAAGAAGGGCUGUAUUCGAUGUUUUAGACGCUUCUAGGUCCUUUUCGGUUAGCUGUGCGAAUGCUGCGGGUGCUUCGAGCUUUAUGAGUACUCUACACCACAUCUUUGGCACUAUGUUCUGUCCAAAGAUCUAGAGAAGGUUUACACUCAGUAUUGCUCCAGUCCACAGCUUCCCCAACUCAACCUGGGGACAGCUGUGAUCCUGAAAAAGCAGCAUCGAAACAGCGUCUGCUUGCAGAUAGACACAAAUGUACUAGUUUGUGUGUAUGAGUAUGCAAGCCUGCUUGCACAUGUGUGUGUGUGUUUGUGUAUAAGUGAACAUGUGUUUUA
rnacentral:lncRNA from 1 species